ensembl:lncRNA
GAAAAAAGUGUGAGAGAAUAGUUUGACUUGUCUUUUGACAAAUUUAAUAUCUUUAGGACAUGAAGAGGGGCUAAAGUUAGCAGGUUUAAACUUAAUGGAGCACUGAUAUUCUAAUGCAUACAAAAUUCACCUUUUUUCAGUGAAUUCGGGCAGAUGGCACGUCUGCCUCUUGUUCACUUUCCAGUUAGCAUGCCAGGCUAUCUCCCCAGCAGCAUUUCCUCUCCAUCUCAUCAGUUCCUGCCCAACAUGUGGCUGCCCCCUGUACCUGUUGGGUACCUUUACCCUCCUCCGCUACAGCCUGGACCUCCAGCUGACUGCAGGGGAGCCUUCUUUACCCAUCAGCCACUGCCUGAGACUUUUAAGGAAGAGCUAGUGUCAAGGCAGCACCCACCACCUCCUGCACCCAGAGCCACUGAGCAGGAAGCUGCUCAGCAAGUUGAUGAGGGGAAUGAAUCAUAAAAAAUAUGUAUAUAUGUUUUCCCUCUUAUUAAGUUAUUGUGUUUCUUGUUCCUUUGUUCCAAUUCAAGUUUAGGGUCUUGAAUUGUUGUUGAAUUGUUGAAAAUUUAAAGGUUACACAUCUGUUUUAUUUUCUGGAUUUUCAAAAUCAGUUGUUAAAUGUUUUAUUAGGAUUUUUAUUUUUAAAAAAAUAUUUACUGUUGUUUAAAUUUUCAAUAAAGUAUGUGUCAACAUAUCUAUGUAGCAUUUCCUUUAUUUUUUUAAU